GGUAACAUGGGGGCACCCUGAUCAGCAUGCCGCGUGUAUGAAGAAGGCCUUCGGGUUGUAAAGUCCUUUCGUGGGGGACGAAAAGGUGGUUACUAAUACUAGGUGGUGUUGACGUGAACCCAAGAAUAAGCACCGGCUAACUCCGUGCCAGCAGCCGCGGUAAUACGGGGGGUGCAAGCGUUAAUCGGAAUCACUGGGCGUAAAGGGUGCGUAGGCGGUACGUUAGGUCUGUCGUGAAAUCCCCGGGCUCAACCUGGGAAUGGCGGUAGAAACCGGCGCGCUAGAGUAUGGGAGAGGGUGGUGGAAUUCCCGGUGUAGCGGUGAAAUGCGUAGAGAUCUGGAAGAACAUCAGUGGCGAAAGGGGACACCUGGGCCAAUACUGACGCUGAAGCACGAAAGCGUGGGGAGCAAACAGGAUUGGAUACCCUGGUAGUCCACGCCCUAAACGAAGAAUACUAGAUGUUUGGUAGCUACCGUACUGAGUGUC
rnacentral:rRNA from 1 species